GUGGAGCGGCCAUGCAAUGUGUCUGUGGCGACCCGCUGACCGCCCCCUCGCCCUGUCCUGCAGCACAGCCAUGACAGUGCAGAUCCUGCUGAAGCUGGACCGCCUGGACCUCGCCCGGAAGGAGCUGAAGAGAAUGCAGGACCUGGACGAGGAUGCCACCCUCACCCAGCUCGCCACUGCCUGGGUCAGCCUGGCCACGGGUGGUGAGAAGCUGCAGGAUGCCUACUACAUCUUCCAGGAGAUGGCUGACAAGUGCUCGCCCACCCUGCUGCUGCUCAAUGGGCAGGCGGCCUGCCACAUGGCCCAGGGCCGCUGGGAGGCCGCUGAGGGCCUGCUGCAGGAGGCGCUAGACAAGGAUAGUGGCUACCCAGAGACGCUGGUCAACCUCAUCGUCCUGUCCCAGCACCUGGGCAAGCCCCCUGAGGUGACAAACCGAUACCUGUCCCAGCUGAAGGAUGCCCACAGGUCCCAUCCCUUCAUCAAGGAGUACCAGGCCAAGGAGAACGACUUUGACAGGCUGGUGCUACAGUACGCUCCCAGCGCCUGAGGCUGGCCCAGAGCUGUCAGGACCAUGAAGCCAGGACAGAGGCCAGGAGCCAGCCCUGCAGCCCUCCCCACCCGGCAUCCACCUGCAUCCCCUCUGGGGGCAGGAGCCCACCCCCAGCACCCCCAUCUGUUAAUAAAUAUCUCAACUCCAGGGUGUUCCACC
rnacentral:lncRNA from 1 species